CACGUAGGCACCAAGCGUUGUCCGGAUUUAUUGGGCGUAAAGAGCUCGUAGGCGGUUCGGUAAGUCGGGUGUGAAAACUUUGGGCUCAACCCAAAGCCUGCACUCGAUACUGCUGUGACUUGAGUCCGGUAGGGGAGUGGGGGAAUUCCUGGUGUAGCGGUGAAAUGCGCAGAUAUCAGGAGGAACACCGGUGGCGAAGGCGGGGUCUCUGGGGCCGAUAUUGACGCUGAGGAGCGAAAGCGUGGGGAGCGAACAGG
rnacentral:rRNA from 1 species